CGCUUCCACUCCCUUUCUCACUACGCUCUCUCCGCAAAAACAACAUCCGCGUCUGCUCUUCUUCCUCAAGCACGCGUCUGCUCUUCUUCGUCCCCCACUCAAGUCCACGCACUGCGGACCGGCGGAGCUGCGUCCCGAGCUUGCCGACGCGGAUCUGCAGACCCGGCAUCCCUCCGCCGAGCCUCGUCCGGUCUGCGCUCAAGAACUCCGGCACUGCGGUGGGACGCGGCUCCAACGAGCUCAACUCCUCUUCCUAUUUCUGCCGCCGCCGCAGCCGCGAUGCCGACGGUGAGCAUCGGCCUGCAACAUGUCGUCCUAGAUCUGGGAGUUCGAGGCGCUCUGCUCUCUGCUCAGGGAGGGGAGGACCCGCUCGUCUCCAUGCUCCGCACCCAGCUCGGCAUCAUCCACCCGCUCUCGGCGCCCCCCGUCAGCCGCUCCGUCGUUGGCCUCUUCACGCUCUUCUUCUUUGUCGGCGCCGCCUUCGACAAGCUCCAGCCCGUCAUCGACGAGGUGGCGCGGGAGGCUGCGCGAGCCGCGGCCGCGGUGGUGCGGGAGCGGGAGACGGCGCCAGGUGCAGCAGGUCAGGCGUGGCAGGAGGUGCAGCCCGCCGCUGCGGCGUGUCAGGCGGGAGCUGGAGAGCGGGCGGAGGCCGCAGCGGAAGCGGGAGAGCGGGCGGAGGCAGCGGAGGAGCCCGCAGCCGCGUCGUCAUCUGUCUCCGCGUCGAUCCCAUCCCCGUGAAUUUCGUUCUCGUAAAUCAGGAUAAGUCAUUAGGAUUAAGCAACUCAAUGAGCUAUCACAUUUGCUGUUUACUGUGGGCAGCAUGGUUUUAGCCUCCUAUAUAUCAUGGGAUCCUCAGACUGUUUUACUGUGAUGUAAACUGACUGUUACAAUGUUUUCAGCUGCACGUUCAGGGACCACUGUGACAUUUGUUAUAAUAGAUGGAUGGGUUGUCACUGUAGCAUCAGUUGGAGAUUCGCGAUGUAUUCUAGAAUCUGCUGAGGGUUCAGUAUAUUUUUUAUCAGCAGAUCAUCGCCUGGAUGCUAAUGAAGAGGAGGUGGAGCGUGUAACAACAAGUGGAAGUGAAGUUGGGAGAAUAAAUAUUGCUGGGGGUGCUGGGGUACGUUACUUUUAUUUUAUGUAUGUUGUUAGUUACCAAGUUGAUUAUUUGUUUCACCCUCCCCAUCCAAGUAUACAAUGCUGUAUUCAUGUGAGUGGACAGGUUGUAAUUUUAAGGACAAUUUCUUUGCGGUCAUUAUUCACAUUGGUCCACUCAGAUGCUGGCCAGGUGGAUUGUGUCUAUCAAGGUCAAUAGGUGAUCCUUCCUUGCUACCAUACCUUCCUUUCUUGUUGAGAAUAAAUAUUGCUGGGGGUGCUGGGGUACGUUACUUUUAUUUUAUGUAUGUUGUCAGUUUCCAAGUUGAUUAUUUGUUUCACCCUCCCCACCCAAGUAUACAAUGCUGUAUUCAUAUGAGUGGACAGGUUGUAAUUUUAAGGACAAUUUCUUUGCGGUCAUUAUUCACAUUGGUCCACUCAGAUGCUGGCCAGGUGGAUUGUGUCUAUCAAGGUCAAUAGAUACUGAUCUUUUUUACCAUUUUAUAUUGGAGUAUGGUAGCAAAAUAAAACAGUGGAUUAAGGGAUAGUAGUUGCUACAAUGAUAUUUCAUAACAAAGCAGAAAGAGAACCGGAAAAGACAUGGAGCCCCAUAGUUGAAAUACGUUAUGGAGGGGGAACUUAUAGAGGUAUAUGCCAAGAAGGUGUUCCUGAAGGAAAGGGCGGACUUUUUGUGUAUAACAUAUUCUGGGUGUUCUUCACUCCAGUUAUGGUUAGUGUGGCUAAAUAUUUUGAUGCUCCGAUAAAGCUUCUGUUUCCAACUGCAACGCCUUGGUGACAUUGUAAUACCUGGGUUGUGGACUGGCCAGGAAACGCAAGGGCGAGGGCGACUCCAGGACCUGGCAAAACGCAGGAUUGACGGCUUCAAGGACGCUGCAGGGCUGAGGUGCGACGUCCUCGUCGGCUUCAAGGACAUGCGAGCGAGGGCGAGGAAAACUCCAAGACCUGGCAACGCAGGUCGGGCUCGGGCGUCAGGCGACGGCGUUGGGUGAGGGCGAGGGCAACCUGGCAACGCAGGUCAGACGACAGUGUCGGGCGUCGGGCGAGGGCGAGGGCGACCUAGCAACACAGGUCGGGCGUUGGGCUGCGGCGUCGGGGGUGAGGGCGAGGGUGAGGGCGACUAUCUAGACCAGGCAACGUAGGUCGGGCGUCGGUGGCGAGGGCGAGGGCGACGGCGUCAGGGGCGAACGGCGACUCUCCAGACCUGGCGUCGGGGGCGAGGGCGACUCUCCAGACCUUGCAACACAGGUCGGGCGUCGGUGGUCGAGCGUCGGGUGAGGGUGACGACGUCGAGGGGGCUCCAGGACGUCGCUGAUUGCGGUUUCUUUCCUUACCGAAGACUACGUAGGAUUGGAAAGAGAUGCAAUUUCAUAUCAGGAAUCCUGUAUUUUCUACAUCUCUGAUUAUAUAUUAUUCUGUAUUAUAAAUUUGCAUCAGGAAUCUUUUCUUGUUUUUUUAUUCAAUUUUCACCCUUCCACCUACUAUACGCACGGGUACGAAGGAAUCGCACCUCGAGGAGUGGGGGGAGCGACAAAAAAAGUCGCACCAUCUUGUGGUCUUACUUUUGUUCUUUUUAGUUGUAGGAGACUAUAUAGGGUAACCUUGAUAGCUAGGAAUUCUAAUCCUUGGGUCUGCGGCCCGUUAGUUUUGUAAACAGGUGUAGAUAUAGGAUCUAAGUGUACUUGAGACGUGAGUAUGUGGAGGGCAUUCCAUUA